AGAUACAAUGAAAAUGACGACCAAAUCACCAUGAAUCGCAGCGUUCCACCUUCAGACCCUAACCAUCUCUGUGUUCUCUCUUCGGAAUUCAUGGACCGUGCCUUGAGGAGUUUUUCAUCGCGAUUCGAAAGAAAUGGUAUCGUGACUGAGGAUACAUUAAUGGAGUCCAAAAAUGCAAAGUCGUGUUUCAUCCUUAACGUUACGUUCAUGGAUAGCAACGUGUUACUUACUCACUCACGAUUCACAUCCAUGGCAUCGCACUCUGGUAUUCCUCACCAUCGUGUUUCUUCGAAGACUAGUAUCUCGUUUCCAUGUUGCGUGUUCCAACCUACAUCGUCGCAACUUCGAACCUAGAAGCAAAGAGUUGCGUUUGGGAUUUCUUCAUGGAGUUUUCCAUCGUGGAUUUACUAUCUCAGAUUUGUGUAAUCCGUCGGUUUCACCCGAGAAUUUGCUUCCCCGAUUUAAUGAUUCAAUGCUCUUGUCGUCGAAUUCUGCUGCAGAAAAAUGGCAUCAAAAAAUGGAUGAGAGUCGUACCGAAUUGAUGCUUUCAGGGUGAACAGGGUGGUCGUAGGAUGGUUAUGUUUAGAGGGUGGUGAAUUGAGGGAGUGGAGGAGGUUAAAGAUGGAAGAAUUGCAGAGUGGAGCUUGGUUAUGAAGGUGAUGAAAAAUGGAAAAUGAGAUGAUUUGUGGUGAAUGGAGAAGAUGAUGAAUGAUUCGGUCCAGUCCCAAUGGAAGGUGAUGAAGGUUUGUAUUUAUAGUAUUCCUAUAUCUCUUCUUCUCUUCUUCUGUUGUUGUGUGAAUCAAUUAGAAGUUGUUGAGAAUUGGUUAGAGGUUGUUAUGAAUUUUGUUAUAGCAGUUA